rnacentral:tRNA from 1 species
GGGCCCGUAGCUCAGUCAGGUUAGAGCGACAGGCUCAUAACCUGUAAGAUGGGAGAUCUCACCUCCCACCUGGGGACUGGUCCCCGGUUCAAAUCCGGGCGGGCCCACCA